CGGAAAGCCUGAUGCAGCAACGCCGCGUGUGUGAUGAAGGCCUUCGGGUCGUAAAGCACUUUUCUGGGAGAUGAGAAAGGACAGUAUCCCAGGAAUAAGUCUCGGCUAACUACGUGCCAGCAGCCGCGGUAAAACGUAGGAGGCGAGCGUUAUCCGGAUUCACUGGGCGUAAAGCGCGUGCAGGUGGCGCGGUAAGUUGGGCGUGAAAUCUCCCGGCUCAACUGGGAGAGGUCGUCCAAUACUACCGUGCUUGAGAGCAGAAGAGGAAGAUGGAAUUCCCGGUGUAGUGGUGAAAUGCGUAGAUAUCGGGAGGAACACCAGUGGCGAAGGCGAUCUUCUGGUCUGUUUCUGACACUCAGACGCGACAGCUAGGGUAGUAAACGGGAUUAGAGACCCCGGUAAUCCUAGCCGUAAACGAUGUGAACUUGGCGUUGGUGGGUUAAACUCCAUCAGUGCCGCAGCAAACGCGAUAAGUUCACCGCCUGGGGACUACGGCCGCAAGGUUA
rnacentral:rRNA from 1 species